GACGAACGCUGGCGGCGUGCCUAAUACAUGCAAGUCGAACGCAGUGGGGACGGGUGAGUAACACGUGGGUAACCUCCCAUCAGAGGGGAUAACACUUGGAAACAGGUGCUAAACCGAUACUGAUGGAUGAACCCGCGGUGCAUUAGCUAGUUGGUGAGGUACCGGCUCACCAAGGCCACGAUGCAUAGCCGACCUGUGAGGGUGAUCGGCCACACGGGGACUGAGACACGGCCCAAACUCCUACGGGAGGCGGCAGUGGGGAAUCUUCGGCAAUGGAGGAAAGUCUGACCGAGCAGCGCCGCGUGAGUGAAGAAGGUCUUCGGAUCGUAAAACUCUGUUGUUAGAGAGGCGGUAUCUGACCAGAAAGCCACGGCUAACCACGUGCCAGCAGCCGCGGUAAUUC
rnacentral:rRNA from 1 species